rnacentral:tRNA from 1 species
CAGAGAGUAGUUUAGUUAAAAAUGCCAGCUUUGGGAGUUGGUGAUGAGGGUUUGAUUCCUUUCUCUCUGA